rnacentral:tRNA from 1 species
GGAGAGAUGGCCGAGAGGUCGAAGGCGCUUGCCUGCUAAGCAAGUGUAGGAGUUUCCUACCGAGGGUCCGAAUCCCUCUCUCUCCGCCA